rnacentral:lncRNA from 1 species
GAAGGCGGGCUGAGCCCGGCGCCGGGAGGAGUGGUCUAAACUCCACCGCGGCUUUCGCAUCGGUAAAGCCGGCAGCGGAAAUUUGAAGGAGGAAGCGGGGAGACGUGUCUUUAGGAAGCAGAGAGGGUUCGAUUCUGGACUCCGCCCAUGACUCACUUCUCUUGUAAAGAAAGAGUUGUCCUUCCUGGUACUCCAGGUACCCUACUGUUUUCUUAUGGACUUUGCCCUUAACGAGUCUCCUUUCCUUCUGUUACUCUCAACCUUUCCUUCUCUACCGGCUCUUUCUUACUGGUAUUUAAACAUGCUUAAGUCUUUCAAUUCUUUAAAAAGAUUUCUCUUCUCCCUAAAUUGCUCUCCAACAACUGCAGCUGUCUCUUACCCCAUGGACAGUCUUUCAUGUCCCACCUCCCAGCCCUCUCCAGUGUCCCCACCGCUCACCUGAAGUGGCUCUGAAUUGUCCACAGACAAGCUUCAUGACUGUAAAUGCAGCGGAUCAUUUUCAGUCCUCAUUUUACAAGCCCUCAUCCCAGUAUUUGACGCGAUUGACCACAGUUGCUUCCAAAUACCCUCUUCCCUCUGGUCUUAUGUCCCAGGUUUCCUCCCUACCUGAGUUUGCUCUUUAACAACCAGCUCCUCCUUGAUCUACCUCUUACACAUUGGAAUCAUGCUGAGCUGAACCCUGGCCCUCUUACUGAGUCUCCCCAUACACUUUCCUAGGUGGUCUUAUGCUCUCCCAGCAGCAUCAAAUACCCUCUGUCAAAGACUCUUCAAUCCAUAACUCAAGCCUAGAUCUUGCUCUGGAAUCCUACAUUCAUAGUUCCCAGCAUACUGCCUUUGGUACACUUUCAUUUGGAUGACUUAGGGCAUUUCAAACUCAACCCGUAUAUCAUAAUUCCUUCAAAACGCUCCUCCCAUAGUCCCUGGUUCAGUAAAGGGUAUCUUAACAUCUACCCAGUUCAUGCCAGAAACCUAGCACACCUCCAACACACAGCAGAAUCACCUACAUCUGUCUGCUCCCUGGAAAAUUGGAUUUGUGACCUCUCUCUGUUCCCAUGACCAUUUUUUCAUUCCCAUUCUAGUCUAAACCACUGUUGCCUCUUGCUUGAAGUCCCACAGUAACCCAUUCAGGUCCUCCAAAACUGCUCUUGCCUCGUUCCAAUACAUUUGCCAUACUGCUGCCAGAGUAAUUUUUUAAAUAUAAAUCUGAUCAUUGACCUGCUUAAAUUCCUCCAGUGGUCUCCCUUUGCUUACCACACAUUGUCUAAGCUCCAUUAUCUGUACUUGUCUUUCUCUCCAGCCUCUCCAUCUGUCCCCCUAGCUGCCUGCACUCCUGCCAUAGUAUUUUAAUUUUUUCCAGGCUCUCCUCUUUUUAUUCCCUACUGUAGGCUCUCACUUCAGGGCAUUUACACAUGCCCUUCCCUUCCCCUGGAAUUUUUUUCUGUCACCCAUUCCUCCUACUUAACUGUAACUUAUCACUUUCUUUUCCAAUUCCUACUUCUCAUUAUUUGUUUAGUGUCCAUGUAAUUGUGCAGGUAAGGACCACGUCUGUCUUGUUCACUACCAGCUUUUCCUCUCCCUAGCAACAGCACAAUGUCUAGAAUAUAGUGGUACUUGUUAGGUAUUUAUCGAAUAAAUAGUGAAUUUCUGAGUGGUCCCGGGCAAAGUUUUCUCAACAUUUGAAUUCAAAUCCUGGCUCUCAGUGAGUUCAGGUUGCCGUAGUAAAGUACCAUAUAGACUGGUGGCUUAUAAACAACAGAAAUGUAUUUCUCAUAGCUCUGGAGGCUGGAUAUCUGAAAUCAGGCUGCCAACAUGGUCAGGUUCUGGUGAAGGCCCUCUUCAGGGUUGUAGAUGGCUGUUUUUUCCCUUUACCUCACAAUGCAGAAAGAGAGCAAGAGCUCUCGGGUUGCUUUUAUAAGGCACUAAUCCCAUUCACAAGGGGUUUACCUCCCAAAGGCCUCAUCUCCUAAUACCAUCACAUUGAGGGUGAAGAUUUCAAAAAUACGAAUUUGCAGGAGACAGGGGUGGGGGUGAAUUCAUUGCACUGGCUCAGCCACUUAUUAGCUAAUGACUUUGGGCAAAUUGUUCACUCUUGUGCCUCAGUUUUCCCAUCUGUAAAAUAAAGAUGAUAAUAGCACCUCAUAGUGUUAUUGUAAUGAUUACGUGACAUAAUACAUGUGAAGUAUACUUGGAACAAUGUUAGGAAAAAUGUUGCCUAUUACUAGCUUUUACUUGGAUAGCUUAUCCUCGUGUCAAAUACGUUUUCAAAAUUGAGUUCAUCUUCCUGCUCUUCUUACCGUGGCUCUAUACAUGAUAUCAAAAAACUUUGGAAUUAUUUACUCAUAACCUAUAAUUAUCACCCACCAAAUAUGGUGAGUUUUUAUUUAAAAAUGUCCUCAUAUUCAUUCUUCCUUUUUAUAUACACUAACCUUCAUUUAGACUCUAUUAUCAUUGAUUAUUUUGCUAACUUCCUAGGUGUCUUCUAACUGGAGGCUAGCUUUCCCUAUUCAUUUGGGCCCUUACUGUCAGACCAGUGGGCCUCAAACAAUUAUUAAAACAUAUAUUCUUCUUGACUUCUGCUCAAAUGACCUCCGUUCCCACCUAACUUUGUUCAUUCAUUUAUUCAAUCAUCCAUUCAUUCCAAUGCAAGUUAUUUUACUACUAACAUUUUGGGUAUACUCUAGAUUUUCAGCCUCUCUACUUUGACAUUUCUCUCUUGGAUAUUCUCUCUUCGGAUAUACUCUAGCAUUUUCAAUCUCACUAUCUGACAUUUCUCCUUUCAGCAUCCAAGUUUUGUCUCUGGGAUUUGGAAGCCACCUGCAUUUUAAAAGAAAUUUUUUCCAGGAUCAGUCUCUCGCUGUGUUGCUCAGGCUGAAGUGCAGUGGCUGUACACAGGAGCGGUCAUCGCAUGUGACAGCCCCACACCCCUGGGCUCAAGUGACUCUCUUGCCCUCAGCCUCCUGAGUAGCUGGGACUACAGGUGAUCCCCCAUUUUUGACUCAGUUUUCCAAUUGCAAAAUGUGGUCAAUAUCAGGGAGAUGAAAGAGGAGCACACAUGGAUGUAACUUGAUAGAGUAUAAGAAAAGUAUCUUGAAAGAGGUCCAGAAUAGGGGGAAGGUCCCAUAAGAUGAUUAUAAAAGGCUUCAAAGAGAAAGUAGUAUUUGAGAGCUUUUCUAUAAUCACAACUUCCUCUUCCUGUUAUUUUUUGCUCAUUUCUGCUGUCGAAUAUAAUUUUCACCCUCACUGUGAGCUCAAGUUCCAUGAACCCUGCCUGCCCUAGUUCAUCACCUCCUGUGAUUUGCUUUCCUACCUAACCCCAAGACCAUGGUGACCUAUUUCAUUUAUUCUAAAAAUAUCUGUGGAGCACCUCCUUUGUGCCAGGCAUUCUUCUAGAGACUGGGGAAAUUAUGAAUAAAACAGAUUGUCUUUCCUCUCAAAUGUCCUAACAUUUUCAACUUCUCUACUUGGGAGGUAAACCCCUUGUGAAUGGGAUUAGUGCCUUAAAGCAAGGAGGGGGAUAUAUUAUGGGUUUCUUUCUUAUUUGGUAAGAUUUCCUAUAGUCUUAAUAUAAUAGAUAGCAAUAAAUAAAUACUUCUGGGUGAGGAAUUAAUUGAAAUCCUCAGUAUCCCUCUAUUUAUAAUGGCUAAAAAAAUGUGAAUGACCCAAAUGUCCCCAUUACUGAAUAGAUAACCACUUAAUUUGUUUUUGUCUCUUUUAUAUACAUGUACCACUCUUAACUCUUAUAACUAUACUUAUUCAUUUCAUGUAUACUUACAUAUAUUCUUUAUUGAACCAUGAACUCUCUAAAGGCAAAGUUGUGUUUUGUUGAACUUGUAUCCUAGUAACUGUCAUGUAAUAGUAGGUGCUCAGCAGUGUCUGUUGAAUGAAAGAGUGAAUGAAUGGUAACAGUUUCUCCAGCACUGGCCAAGGGAGUGUGCUCUACCCUGCUGAUUCAAGCAUCAGAUCUACUCAGAAAUUCUUCCCCUGCUGAGAAGAAGGGGAUGCUGAGACUCUUCACAGUUGAAAUCAAUGUGAAAGGAGCUGUUAUCAAUGCUCACUAAGUAAUCCUGUGGUUUUAUUUUAUUAUUUAUUAUUUAUUUGUUUAGUAUUUUUGAGACAAGAUCUCACUCUGUUGCUCAGGCUGGAGUGCACUGGUGCGAUCAUGGCUCACUGCAGCCUCUAUCUCCUGGCUGAAGCAAUCCUCCCACCUCAGCCUCCUGAGUAGCUGGGAUGACAGGCACACACCAUCAUGUCCAGCUAAUAUUUUUAAAUUUAUUUUUUGUAGAGACGGGUCUCCCUGUGUUGCUUAGGCUCGUCUCAAACUCCUGGGCUCAAGCAGUCCUCCCACCUCAGCCUCCCAAAGUGCUAUGAUUACAGGCAUGAGCUUACCACACCCAGCUGUGAUUUUAAUUUGACUUUCCAGAUAGAAAAGAAAGCACUAAUCUCUUCACAACUAUUUCUGGUCUGUUUACCAGUUACAUUUCCCCCAUGCAAAUUAAUGUAUUGUAUCUUAAAACUGAUUUUAAAAACCAGAAAAACAAAACAAAAAAAAUUUUGGCUUUUACUUCCCCUUCCAGCUACUGUCCCAUUUGUUUUUGUUCUCCUUUACUAUAAAAUCCUUGAAAGAGUUCUAUAUUCACUGCCCCAAUUCCUUUUCUCCUGUUUUCUAUUAAAACUAUUUUAACUACCUCUUGCCCCCAGCAUUCCACUGAAAUUACUCUCCAAUUACUUUGUUAUUUUGUUAGUUAAUCCAAUAGCCAGUUCUUUGUCUCUAUCCUUGACCUAUCAGCAUUUGCCAUAGUUGAUUACUCCCUCCUCCCUUUAACACUUUCUCCACUUAGUUUAUAGGAUACUUCAGUCUCCUGGUUUUAGUCCUACACUACUAGUCACUGUUCUCAAACUCCUGCUCAUGACCUCUUAAUAUUGGAGUGUCCCAGGCCUCUGCCUUGGAAUUUUUUUCUUCUGUUCCUACCCCCUUUCCUAUAGUGCUCUCAUUCAGUCUUCUGUCUUUACAUGUAAAUAUGCUCACAACUCCCAAGUCUUAAACCCAAACUUGUAUUCCAAGUACCUCAGCAUCUUUACUUGUAUAUUUAAUAGACCUCUUCAUUUGAUCAUAUCCAAAACAAAACUCAGCAUACCCCUUCCCCUCAAAAACUUUCUCUACCUACAACCUUCUUUAUCUCAGUUAUUGGCAACUCCAUCAUUUGAUUGCUGAGGCCAACUCAGCAACUCUUUUAUAUCCCACAUUCAGUUUGUCAUCAAAGCCUAUUGCUCUCUCUUCAAAAUAUAUGACCACUCUCCCCAACUCCACUGAUAGCAGCUUGGUCCAAACUACUGUCAUCAUUGACUAGAAUUUUGUAUUAGCUACCCUUAACAUUCAUUCUAUUCUCAACACAGCAGCCAGAGUGAUACCUUUAAAAUAUAGAGCAGACCAUAUUAAGACUGUUCAAAACUUUCUAAAAGCUUCCUAUCUCACUCAGAGUAAAAGCACUUAUUUUUACAAUUAGUCCCUGUACACCCCCUUACCUCUCUGGUCUUAGUUCCUUCUGUUAUUCCCCUCCAUUCUCUGUUCAGUCACAUUGGCGGCCUCCUUGCUGUUUCUCAAACACUUUGAACACACUUUCUCCCAAGAGACUUUGCCCUUGCUAUUUCCUCUGCUCUGAAUGCUUCUCCCAGAUAUCCAUGUCUUCCUUGACUCCUCAUGUCUUUGCUCAAAUGCUCCUGUUUCUGUGAGGCCUUUCCUUACUACUCUGGUGGAAAUUGAUCACCGAACAACCACCUCUUUGCUCUUUUGCUCUCCCUAUUUUCCUUUACUACUUAUUUUUCUCCAUUGCACAUAUCACUUUCUCUGUGCUAUAUAUUAACUUAUUUAUUGUGUUUAUUGUCUGCCCCCUCUAGGGCAGGGACUUUUGUCCCUUUUUUUUUCGCUGCUGUAUCCUUAACAUCUAGAAGAGUACCUGGUACACAGCUGGGACUCAAAUAUUUGUUGAAUGAAUGCAAUUGAAAUUUUGGAUGUAAUCUCCUGGAUUAGCAUAAGCAGGUCUUUCUUAGACUGAUCACCUGUAGGUGCAUCUAUAAAUAUUGAGCUUCUGUAUUACAGCCUGAAUCAUGGUGGCUCCACCAAGCUAACAGCUUCUUGUGGUGCCCAAUUUCUAUGUGGCUACACUCUGCCAUUUCUGUCUGGGUUCCUUAUAACCUUAAAGAGACGAAGACCUCUUUGAAGCUUUCUGGUCUUCCCAUGUCACAGAGUCGGAACUGGAGAACUGAUCAGCAAGAUUCUGGUAGCUUGUAAUUAGCAUUUCAAGGGCCAAAUGGUAGGAUACUAGUGCUGCUGCAUGCUCCAUCUUCUCUGCAACUGAAAGCAAUACCAUGUAAACAUGUCAGGUGGUCUCUUAUUAUCUUAGAAAUUGCAAAAAGUCCAGUGGCUGGCACUAAAACCAGGAACAGUAACAAGCAAAGAUUUAUUGGCUGGGUAUGGUGGCUCAAGCCUGUAAUCUCAGCACUUUGGGAGGCUGAGGCGGCCAGAUCAUGAGGUCAAGAGUUCGAGACCAGCCUGGCCAACAUGGUGAAACCCCGUCUCUACUGAAAAUACAAAAAUUAGCUGGGCGUGGUGGCACGUGCUUGCAGUCCGCAGCUACUUGGAAGGCUGAGGCAGGAGGAUCACUUCACCCGGGAGGCGAAGGUUGCACUGAGCCGAGAUCGUACCACUUGCACUCCAGCCUGGGCGACAGAGUGAGACUCUGUCUCAGGAAAAAAAAAAAAAAAAAGAUGUAUUGAGUGCUUGCUUUGUGCUGGCACUGUUCUAAACACCUUUUGAUAUAUUACCUAAUUUAAUCCUCACAACAACCCAGUGAGGGAAAUAUUAAUAUUAGGAACAUUUUACAGAUGAGUAAACUGAAACCAGAGAAGAAACGUGUCUGUGGUCUUAGAGCCAGUGAGUGUCAGAGUCAGAAUGUGAACCCAGGCACAUUCUGACAGGCUUUAGAGCCUGAACUCUUAACCAUUGUGUUCCACUGCCUGCUUACAGAAUGAAAAGGGGAGAAGAACUUUACCUUGAAAAGAAAGCAAAAUAACUAUGACUCCAUCACGGUAAUUCUGCCAUUCUAAAAGCACCUUCGUAACCAAGCACUUUCUUCUGGCAUCAACCCUGUUGCUGUUUCAUGCAUAAUACAAGAUUUAGGCUGACUGGCCUCCAAGGUACUUUGUCACUCUUUCUAGUCAAAGGAGUGGGCUCCUUGAAACACUCUGCCAAACCUUUCCCCUGUAUCUUUGCUUCACUAGCUCCUGCUCUUUAGCUGUGCUCUUAAGGGUGUGUCAUUAACUGUUGAGAGCCACACAUAACUCCCCAACACCAACACCCUAGUCUGGUUUAGGUCCCUGGACUCUACGUUUUUAUUUCCAUCAAAGCACCUAUCAUAAUUGUCAUUGUUUGGUGAAUUGUCUGUUUCCCUGCUGGACUAAUCUCUGUGAAGACAGAGAUUGUGUCUGUCUUAUUCAUUGCUGUACCCUUAAUACCUAUCAUGGUGUUUGGCAUGUUGGAGGAGUUUGAUAAAAUUUUUUUGAAUGUUCCAUCCAGACUUGGUAAAAAAAAAAUCUGAAUGAAUUUAAGUGAUAUUUCUAUAGCCUAUCUGCAAUUAUAUCCAGGUAUUAAGGUGAAUUUUCUUGUGGCUAGGCUAGCCUACCUUUUUAGAAAUGGAAGAGAUGGUUUUCUUUCAAUCUGCCUUCUAGCUGUUGGGUUUUCGUGUUAUGGAAUCACUGCCAGUGCCAAAAUGCUAAGUUUUCAAUUAGUGCCACUGUCUGCUUCAGAUACAGCUGACAUUCAACUGCUGUGUGAUGGAUGUUUUCCUAGGGUCUUUUACAUAUAUGUGCUAAUUUAAAUUCAGAUAACUUCUCUGGGUUUCAGGUUCCUCAGCUAUAGAACCAAGUUACCUAACUGACUUCCACAAGAUCAAACUUGUAAGUUUGAGAAUUGGGGUCUGAAUUUAGAACUUCCAAUUCUAACUUUAGCUUUUUUGUUCAUAUAUGAUGUUGCCUUCCUGUUCCCAAGAAUCCUAUUGAUUCUUCUCUGCUAGUCCACAGGUAGCACCAGAUUACUAAGUAACCUGCACAUUUCAUAAUCUUGUCAUAUGCAUUUCCUUUAAAAAAAACUUUCCCCCCUCUCAUUUUUUUUCUUUUUUCUACUUUUAUUUUCUUCCCAUUCCUAUUCUGCCUGCUUUCCAAAACAGUGACAGAGUUUAUGAAAACAUUUCUGAGGCCUGUUCUAGCUUCUUUUCUUUUUUCUUUUUUUUUUUUUUUUUUGAGAUGGAGUCUCGCUGUUGCCCAGGCUGGAGUGCCGUAGCGUGAUCUCUGCUCACUGUAACCUCUACCCGCCAGAUUCAAAUAAUUCUCCUGCCUCAGCCUCCAGAGUAGCUGGGACUACAGGCAUGCACCACCACACCCAGCUAAUUUUUGCAUUUUUAAUAGAGAUGGGGUUUUGCCAUGUUGGCCAGGCUGGUCUUGAACUCCUGACUUCAGGUGAUCUGCCUGCCUCGGCCUUCCAAAGUGCUGGGAUUACAGGCUUGAGCCACCAUGCCUGGCCCUGUUCUAGUUUCAUAUGUGGAUUGAGGACUUUAGUGAGAUUUGAUUAUUUCUGUGCUGUUAUUAUAUCUAUAUCAGAAGUAGAUGUGAGAAGAGUCUCAAAGAUUGGAACGCAGGGCACAUACUAUUUGGGUUCCUGAUUAAACAAGAUGAUUGAACAAUGCUUUUUACUCUUUUCUUUCCUGAUACCCCACAGUAAAGAAUAAGAAAAGUAUAAAACCGGCCAGCGCAGUGGCUAACACUUGUAAUCCCAGCACUUUGGGAGGCCAAGGUGGGUGGAUCACCUGAGGUCAGGAGUUCGAGACCAGUCUGGGCAACAUGCUGAAACCCC